rnacentral:sRNA from 1 species
UGAUGAUAUACCAGUAGAGGCAACCGGCAGUAACUGUCCUCCACAUAUUGAGAAUUUUGGCGAUAUUGACAUGGGAGAAAUUAUCAUGGGGAACAUUCAACUUACUCGCUAUACUCGUCCUACUCCAGUGCAAAAACAUGCCAUUCCUAUUAUUAAGGGAAAAAGAGACUUAAUGGCUUGUGCCCAAACAGGAUCUGGGAAAACUGCGGCAUUUCUUUUACCCAUACUGAGUCAGAUAUAUACAGAUGGUCCAGGAGAAGCUUUGAAGGCUGUGAAGGAAAAUGGAAGGUACGGGCGCCGCAAACAAUAUCCAAUAUCCUUGGUUUUAGCCCCAACAAGAGAAUUGGCUGUACAGAUCUAUGAGGAAGCCAGAAAAGUAAAAUAUUCAUUUUAGUGAUUAUUGCUUUUCUUAUUUGUCAAAUGAUGUUGUUAUAGUCACUGACAUGUUCUUUGCUUAAAGUUUUCCUACCGAUCUAGAGUUCGUCCUUGUGUAGUUUAUGGUGGUGCUGAUAUUGGUCAGCAGAUUCGGGACUUAGAACGUGGAUGCCACUUGUUAGUAGCCACUCCAGGACGUCUAGUGGAUAUGAUGGAAAGAGGAAAGAUUGGAUUAGACUUCUGCAA